rnacentral:lncRNA from 1 species
AAUCUUAAUUAGUACACUCACGUUCCUUGUGAAAAAUCGAUACUCUGGAAUACUCCCGGGUGAAAGCUACAUCGGUAUCGUGCGCUUGCGGAUUUUUCUGUUUGCGUUUAAAAUACCCAAUAAGCUUUCUGGCACCGUUGCCGAGGAACGGUAGCUGUGCUAGUUUUGAACCAAGUUGUCCGUGUAUCCUUUUUCUUUUCCUUUUUUUUCCAAACAUUAAUGAGCAUGGAAUUUAUUUCAUAGCCACUUCGUUUACUCCAUGCUCAUAUGCAAUAUCUUCCCAAUCUAUUGGUCUCUCCAACAUCACCACAUUCGAGAUCUCUAAACCCUCUUCCUUUCUAUUUAUAAAAACUUUUAAAGGGCGGUUGUCGAUGUAUAUGUCUAUAAUAAAGAUUGCAGAUCUCGUUGAGUUGAUCUUGGUAUAGGUCAGCAUUGGAGGAGAAACCACUUCGCCGACAUAAAUUGAUGGUUUCCCAAGGACAAGCUUAGUGUCCUAAAAUAAGCACUGAUCAGAUCGUAAUAUGAGCUUUUAAUUAUUUGCAACAUUACCUUGUUAUUGAGCAUAUAAGGAUAAUUGUAAAAAAUUCCUUUGGGUAUUCUUGUCACUAACCUUUCUAGGAUUGGAGCAAGAAGAUUGGAUGAAUGACAAGCACAAGGUAUGUCCAACCAAUCAUCAUACAAC